UGAUCUGAGUAAGUUUUCAAAAAUUUGUGAGCUAAUUUUCCUUAGAAAUAUUUGUAAGAUUUUGCAAAACGUUUGUAAGAGUAUACGGAUUUUACAAAGUCUCAAAGGACUGAAGUGCCUCAUUGUAUUUGUGUAAAAGGUCGAUAUACUCGGCCACCUAGCAACGGUUGUGGGCCAACCAAGCAAUGAUGAUUGGUACGACGGGGCCCUUUCUUUUGUCCAAUAUUUCAUUGCAAUUGCGAUCUUGCUGAUUGCCGCAGAAGCUAAUAGUAAAGCCGUCAUGUUGGAAAAGUCGGUCGUAUUUUCGUGCCUCUCACAGGAAUCAGAUAGGCCAGGGGUCAAUCGGAUUAAAAAUUGUAAUGAGAACUACUGGGUGAACCAAGUCAUCGAAGGUCAAGCUAUGCACGCCCUGUUAAAGACAUCCCCUGGAGAGAAUGGAUUAAUUGGAUGGAAGUUCUUCUUGAUUUCGUACCCAUUUUUGGGAUUGGCACUCAGCGUCUGCUUAACAUAUGCCAUGGUAAUGUUGCAAUUUGUCGCAACACCGAAGAGGGACCAGAAGGAGAAAGCAGGAUAAAUGUACGAGACGCAACGAUUCAACA